GCUGAUCCGCCAAACCUCCUGCUGCUGUGAGCCCGGCUCUGCCCCUUUCGCGCGGCUGCAAAUCCCAGAGCGCGAACGCUGGCAGAUUGCCAGAUCGCCCCUGUGAAGCUUUUGUGAGCUUGGAGGUGCAGGUGUGCUUUUAACCCUGGCUGCUUGGUGCUACCAACCAGAAAAAGAUGCCCUUUGCUUCCCCUUCUCUUUUUCCUCACUUUCUUAUCUUUGCUUCAAAUGCGCACAAGGCAGCCCACCGGUUCCUGUGAGAAGCUCAUGCCAUGCCACUGUAAGGCAAGCCCAUACUAUGCUUCGGCGGCUGCACUGCAGAAAUGCACCUGCCUGUGUGAGAAGACUUACUUGCUCUAUUUCAGAUACUUGCAUUAUUCUGUUCAUUUGGCUGAGAUCUGAGGACUUUGGCUUUCCCUGUGCAAAGGCGCUGGACUACAAGCCGCAGAAGGUCCUGAGCCAUCCGCUGCAGCCAGCAAAGAGCCUGUCGGAUGCAGCGGCCAGGUCGGCGGCGAUGCCUCCCAAGAACAGCGCCCCGGGGAGCAGCAGACCAGUGACACCAAGGCCACAAGACACCGCUGCCAAUGUGACAGACAGUGCAGUUGUGAAUGAGUCAUCAUUAGGUGAUGGUGGGGCCAGCAAAGCAGCGUCCAGUCAGCCUGCUCCAAGCCAGACGUAUUCCCAAGAUGCCAGCGAAAAUGUUUGAUUUGCCACAGCCUUCCCUGUGUAAGCUGUGGCAGUAGGCUUGAAGAAUGCAUGUCCCUGGGUCAAAGAUUGUUCGCAGAUUGACAGGGCAUCUGGCAAUGAAUUCAUUGCAGGAUUGGGACUUCUGUGUCUGCCAUGCGUUUCGCACUGCUGUGUCAAUGUUUCUGGCAAGCGGCAUUUGGCAGUCCACGAUGUGGAUUGCGAGAGGAAUGAGAGACAAUGUCACUGCGAUCGAUGACAAAUAUGCCAGGGCAAAUAUAUUGGCCUUGUGUGUGAAAGGGGCUGGCCUGCGCAAGCCGAUUUUAGUGUUGCCACAAAGUAUUUCCCUGCCAGAAGUGCAAUUUUAGAUCAGCGCUAAUCGUACUAAUUGCUCAUAUCAUAUCAACGUUCAUCGUCUUGAGUUCUGGAAUGUCCGCCCUUGACAUGCACAUUCGCAUUGUUUCUCUGCAGCUUGCUAGCAUGCUAAUUGAAGUGAGUAACCAUGAAGUCUUGGGACAAACCUGAUUCAAUAGACAGCAGAUUUGAUCUUGAUUGUUCAAUUGAUUGUUGAACAGCCGUGGCUCGAUAUCUUGCAAUGAAUGGCUGCUCAUGCGGACUUUUAACGAUUUAUAAUUUUGUUGCAUGCAUGCAUGCAUGCAUACGUAUUAUGUGCAUCGGCGAAAUGGAAAUGGCUGACCUCAAAAUGCUAUGCAGAUUGCCUAAUUCUGAUCUCUCGAUUGACUGCUAAUGAAAGGAUUCGUCUACC
rnacentral:lncRNA from 1 species